UACGGGGGGGGCAAGCGUUGUUCGGAAUUACUGGGCGUAAAGGGCGUGUAGGCGGCCAACUAAGUCCGACGUGAAAUCCCCAGGCUUAACCUGGGAACUGCGUCGGAUACUGGAUGGCUUGAAUCCGGGAGAGGGAUGCAGAAUUCCAGGUGUAGCGGUGAAAUGCGUAGAUAUCUGGAGGAAUACCGGUGGCGAAGGCGGCAUCCUGGACCGGCAUUGACGCUGAGGCGCGAAAGCUAGGGGAGCAAACGGG
rnacentral:rRNA from 1 species